UACGUAGGGUGCGAGCGUUAAUCGGAAUUACUGGGCGUAAAGCGUGCGCAGGCGGUGAUGUAAGACAGGUGUGAAAUCCCCGGGCUUAACCUGGGAACUUCAUUUGUGACUGCAUCGCUGGAGUGCGGCAGAGGGGGAUGGAAUUCCGCGUGUAGCAGUGAAAUGCGUAGAUAUGCGGAGGAACACCGAUGGCGAAGGCAAUCCCCUGGGCCUGCACUGACGCUCAUGCACGAAAGCGUGGGGAGCAAACAGG
rnacentral:rRNA from 1 species